ensembl:snRNA U6 U6 spliceosomal RNA
UUGCUAUGACAGCACAUAUACUAAAACUGGAAUGAUACAGAGAAGAUUAGCAUGGCCGUUGCGCACGGAUGACUCAGCAAUGGCAUAACCUCUCUCUCUCUCU